rnacentral:rRNA from 1 species
GAUGAACGCUGGCGGCGUGCCUAAUACAUGCAAGUCGAGCGAAUGGAUUAAGAGCUUGCUCUUAUGAAGUUAGCGGCGGACGGGUGAGUAACACGUGAGUAACCUGCCCAUAAGACUGGGAUAACUCCGGGAAACCGGGGCUAAUACCGGAUAACAUUUUGAACCGCAUGGUUCGGAAUUGAAAGGCGGCUUCGGCUGUCCAUUAUGGAUGGACCCGCGUCGCAUUAGCUAGUUGGUGAGGUAACGGCUCACCAGGCAACGAUGCGUAGCCGACCUGAGAGGGUGAUCGGCCACACUGGGACUGAGACACGGCCCAGACUCCUACGGGAGGCAGCAGUAGGGAAUCUUCCGCAAUGGACGAAAGUCUGACGGAGCAACGCCGCGUGAGUGAUGAAGGCUUUCGGGUCGUAAAACUCUGUUGUUAGGGAAGAACAAGUGCUAGUUGAAUAAGCUGACACCUUGACGGUACCUAACCAGAAAGCCACGGCUAACUACGUGCCAGCCGCCGCCGUAA